UACGUAGGGCGCAAGCGUUGCCCGGAAUUAUUGGGCGUAAAGAGCUCGUAGGCGGUUUGUCGCGUCUGCCGUGAAAUCCCGAGGCUUAACCUCGGGUCUGCGGUGGAUACGGGCAGACUAGAGGUAGGUAGGGGAGAAUGGAAUUCCCGGUGUAGCGGUGAAAUGCGCAGAUAUCGGGAGGAACACCGGUGGCGAAGGCGGUUCUCUGGGCCUUACCUGACGCUGAGGAGCGAAAGCGUGGGGAGCGAACAGG
rnacentral:rRNA from 1 species